UACAGAGGGCUCAAGCGUUGUUCGGAUUCAUUGGGCGUAAAGGGUGCGUAGGCGGCGCUGUAAGUCAGGUGUGAAAUUUCGGAGCUUAACUGCGAAACUGCAUUUGAUACUGCGGUGCUUGAGGACUGGAGAGGAGACUGGAAUUUACGGUGUAGCAGUGAAAUGCGUAGAGAUCGUAAGGAAGACCAGUGGCGAAAGCACUCUGCUGGGCCGACACUGACACUGAGAGACGAAAGCUAGGGGAGCGAAUGGG
rnacentral:rRNA from 1 species